rnacentral:rRNA from 1 species
AUAGAAGUGAGAAUGCUGGGAUGAGUAACGUAAAACAGGUGAAAACCCUGUUCGCUGAAUAUCUAAGGUUUCCAUGGCUAUGGCAGUCAUCCAUGGGUUAGUCGGUCCUAAGGUGAGGCUGAAAAGCAUACCCGAUGGACAACAGGUUAAUAUUCCUGUACUACUAAUACUUUAUGUAUGGAGUUAGAAAAUUGUGAAAGCAAGCCCCUUAAUGGUUUGGGGUGCAAGCAACAAGAGAGUCUCUUCAGGGAAAUCCGGAGAGAUGUUUCCAUUUUUUUAAUGGAUGGACACGAGUUGUUAUGCAAAGGUGACCUUCGGGAACCCGAUUUGUUGUAGUAAUUUUCCUGGAAAAUCUUCUAUCGUCUGAGACUUCGGUCUUUGACAAAAGUAUUUGUAACCGUACCGCAAACCGACACUGGUGGAUAGGUGUAAAUGCACCAAAGCGUACGAGUGAUGCGUUGUUAAGGAACUCGGCAAAUUUACCUCGUAAGUUCGCGAGAAGAGGGACUUUCCAUUAUGAGUUUAUAUUUGUAAUGAUGAAAGUCGCAGAGAAUAGGGAGGGGCGACUAGUUACCAAAACUACAGGCGCUUGCAAACUCGUAAGAGGAUGUAUAAGUGCUGACGUCUGCCCAAUGCCAGAAGGUUAAGGCGACUUGUUAAUCGUCUGCUAGAUACACUUCGGUGUUCUAGUGGUGGUGAAGCUUGUCUCUGAAGCCCUGGUCAAUGGCGGCUGUAACUAUAACGGUCCUAAGGUAGCGUAAUACCUCGUCACUUAAUUAGUGACUUGCAUGAAAGACGUAACGACCCUUCCACUGUCUCGACAGCGCGCUCGGUGAAAUUGAAAUGGCUGUGAAGAUGCGGCCUACCCAUACCAGGACAAAAAGACCCCGUGGAGCUUUACUGCAGCUUUGCAUUGGAAUAAGUUUUCGGAUGUAUAGAAUAUGUGGGAGACUUUGAAAUCAUCUCGUUAGGGAUGGUGGAGUCGACAGUGUAAUACCACUCUUUUGGGAAUUUGUUUCUAACAGUAUCCAUUAUCUGGAUUCUAGACAGUGCAUGGUGGGCAGUUUGACUGGGGCGGUUGCUUGCUAAAGAGUACCGCAAGCGCACAAAGGUCUCCUCAACCCGGAUGGAAAUCGGGUGAAGAGUGCAUAGGCAUAAGGAGGCUUUACUGUGAGGAGGACACUCCGAUCAGUUACGAAAGUAGGUUUAAGUGAUCCUUUGAUUGCGUGUGGAAGCGUCAUUGCUUAACGGAGAUAAGCUACCCCGGGGAUAACAGGCUAGUCUUGCCCGAUAGUUCAUAUUGACGGCAAGGUUCGGCACCUCGAUGUCGGCUCGUCGCAUCCUGGGGGUGAACAAGCCCCCAAGGGUUGGACUGUUCGUCCAUUAAAGCGGUACGCGAGCUGGGUUCAGACCGUCGUGAGACAGGUCGGUCUCUAU